UAGCUAGUUGGUGAGGUAAAGGCUUACCAAGGCGACGAUCUGUAGCGGGUCUGAGAGGAUGAUCCGCCACACUGGAACUGAGACACGGUCCAGACUCCUACGGGAGGCAGCAGUGGGGAAUUUUGGACAAUGGGGGCAACCCUGAUCCAGCCAUGCCGCGUGAGUGAAGAAGGCCUUCGGGUUGUAAAGCUCUUUCGGCCGGGAAGAAAUCGCAUGGGCCAACACCCUGUGUGGAUGACGGUACCGGAAUAAGAAGCACCGGCUAACUACGUGCCAGCAGCCGCGGUAAUACGUAGGGUGCGAGCGUUAAUCGGAAUUACUGGGCGUAAAGCGUGCGCAGGCGGUUUUGUAAGACAGGCGUGAAAUCCCCGGGCUUAACCUGGGAACUGCGUUUGUGACUGCAAGGCUAGAGUACGGCAGAGGGGGGUGGAAUUCCACGUGUAGCAGUGAAAUGCGUAGAGAUGUGGAGGAACACCAAUGGCGAAGGCAGCCCCCUGGGUCGAUACUGACGCUCAUGCACGAAAGCGUGGGUAGCAAACAGGAUUAGAUACCCUGGUAGUCCACGCCCUAAACUACGUCAACUAGGUGUUGGGUGGGUAAAACCAUUUAGUACCGUAGCUAACGCGUGAAGUUGACCGCCUGGGGAGUACGGCCGCAAGGUUAAAACUCAAAGGAAUUGACGGGGACCCGCACAAGCGGUGGAUGAUGUGGAUUAAUUCGAUGCAACGCGAAAAACCUUACCUACCCUUGACAUGCCAGGAACUUGCCAGAGAUGGCUUGGUGCCCGAAAGGGAGCCUGGACACAGGUGCUGCAUGGCUGUCGUCAGCUCGUGUCGUGAGAUGUUGGGUUAAGUCCCGCAACGAGCGCAACCCUUGUCGUUAAUUGCCAUCAUUUAGUUGGGCACUUUAACGAGACUGCCGGUGACAAACCGGAGGAAGGUGGGGAUGACGUCAAGUCCUCAUGGCCCUUAUGGGUAGGGCUUCACACGUCAUACAAUGGUCGGUACAAAGGGUUGCCAAGCCGCGAGGCGGAGCCAAUCCCAGAAAGCCGAUCGUAGUCCGGAUUGCAGGCUGCAACUCGCCUGCAUGAAGUCGGAAUCGCUAGUAAUCGUGGAUCAGCAUGUCACGGUGAAUACGUUCCCGGGUCUUGUACACACCGCCCGUCACACCAUGGGAGCGGGUUCCGCCAGAAGUAGGUAGCCUAACCGCAAGGGGGGCGCUUACCACGGCGGGGUUCGUGACUGGGGUGAAGUCGUAACAAGGUAGCCGUAGGGGAACCUGCGGCUG
rnacentral:rRNA from 1 species